UCCCUGGUGGUCCAGUGGUUACGACUCUGCGCUUCCACCGCAGGGGGGCACAGGUUCGAUCCCUGGUCAGGGAA